GAUGAAGAACGCAGCGAAAUGCGAUAAGUAAUGUGAAUUGCAGAAUUCAGUGAAUCAUCGAAUCUUUGAACGCACAUUGCGCCCCUUGGUAUUCCGAGGGGCAUGCCUGUUCGAGCGUCAUUUGUACCUUCAAGCCUUGCUUGGUGUUGGGUGUUUGUCUCGCCUCUGCGCGCAGACUCGCCUCAAAACAAUUGGCAGCCGGCGUAUUGAUUUCGGAGCGCAGUACAUCUCGCGCUUUGCACUCAGAACGACGACGUCCAAAAGUACAUUUUUACACUCUUGACCUCGGAUCAGGUAGGGAUACCCGCUGAACUUAAGCAUAUCAAUAAGCGGAGGA
rnacentral:misc_RNA from 1 species